rnacentral:lncRNA from 1 species
AUCUUGAAAGAGAAGGCAAGUGCAUAAUAAGAGAUCAUACAAAAAGAUAAAUAGUAUGUAUGUUCCUUAAAAAAGAAAAAAAAAAGAAAAAAAAGAAAAACAAAAGAGAAAAAUGCACUUGUCGAGACUUAAGACUCUAGCACAUAUAAAAUGCUGGAAAAAUUUGAGUAGAAAAAGAGUCAAAAGAGUGAAAUUAACCCCCAGAGUAUACGUGAUGCACGAGA